UCCCCGUUCACCGGGGCAGUCCCCUCAGAGUGCCCGGCAUGACCCGGUAGCAACAGAGGGCAAGGGUUGCGCUCGUUGCGGGACUUAACCCAACAUCUCAUGACACGAGCUGACGACAGCCAUGCAGCACCUGUGCACCAGCCCCGAAGGGAAGACAGUUUUCGCUGCCGGUCUAGUGCAUGUCAAACCCAGGUAAGGUUCUUCGCGUUGCGUCGAAUUAAACCACAUGCUCCACCGCUUGUGCGGGCCCCCGUCAAUUCCUUUGAGUUUUAGCCUUGCGGCCGUACUCCCCAGGCGGGGCACUUAAUGCGUUAGCUUCGGCACGGAAGGAGUCGACACCUCCCACACCUAGUGCCCAUCGUUUACGGCGUGGACUAC
rnacentral:misc_RNA from 1 species